GUUGUUAGUCCUCCAGCCAUUAGGGGCGCUGUGUUAAAAAAAAGCCUGGGUCCUGAGAAUGCGGUCCUGAGAACGUUGUUGGGUCUCAGGUUUAUAUUACUGAAACUGGUGGUAGAGCGACACAAAACAACCAAAGACAAGUUGCCCAGAGGUGGGAAGCAGCCGCUCAGAUCAGAGUCGGGAUCAUUUGGGAGAAUUUGCAUAGCUGGAAAGUGGCAGAGGCGUAACAGGUUUCACCAUGGAUCUGCCUGAUCUGGCUUGCAUCACUGUAGGAGGCGGGGCCGGGGAUUCCUCUACUCCAACAUCAGUGGGAGAUUCCUCCGAACCCGGCGAGGGAAGCCCACGUCAACGCCCACGCAGAGGAAAGCCUGCAGAGUGUCAACACUCCGUCACAUUCCAGCUGCCCUCUGUUUACUGCAGCUCUGCUUUGAUUACAGAUCACGGUUUUGCAUUUACUGAAGGUCAACAUGAUGUUAUGAAACACAGACAAGUUAAAGACAUUUGUUCAAUUAUGUCUUUGUCUGGGUGUUUCUGACACUCUCACCUUUACAGUCUUUGAAUUUUCAUUGAGACCACACAGUCUCUGUAUUUUGACUGAUAGACUGAUGGUCUCAGAGAAAACUGAUGAGUUGAAGCAGACACUACUCUGCUGCACCUCCUGAGUCUUCUAUA